CUCUUUGAAAGCGUCCUUCCCUCGCUUUGAGCUCCAAUCUGUGCUCCGUCCUUUUCUUUGACAGCAGAAAAAGGAUGCGGAGACAGAUGUGACAGAGGAUGGUCCUGGGCUGGUAAAAGAGGUUCUUCACCCGAAGAAAUCAUCUGACCAUGCAUCCCAGUCCGCUCUCUCUCUAAUGGAGAUAGAAUAUAUCGCAAGAGUGUUGACAACUUUUAGAAACUUUACACAUCGCUGAUUGCAAAUGAAAAGGACUGUUUGCAGGAAAAGGCUCCAUACAACUUGAAGAAAAUGUCAACAUUGUUUCAGAGAUGUCAGCAACAAAUCCAUUCCAGCUAUAAAGUUGUUUCUGCAAGAACACAGAGAAAUCCGUGCGUUUAUCUUGAAGACAACUCUUUCAAACAAAUGUUCUAAUUAGGAACCACAACAUCCUAUUUCUUUUUUAAUGCUCUAGUUGUAAAUGGACAACAAAUGUUGUUGAGCAAGAGAAUGUCAUUGUCUAAACGUGGAAAUGGAAUUUCAAGUUCUGCAUUCAAUUAUGUUUGGAGGUUUUGCCUUUCAUUUUGAGUUAAACCUGGAGAUUUUGAAAAAGAAAUCUGUCUCCAUUAUUGCUUCUCUUUUUUAAACAGUAAGAAUAUGAAAGAGCACAUCCGAGCUGCCAGGAACAGCACGGAGAUCGUCUAAAACACAGCAGACCUCUUGGUUGUUCAAAUAAUUGUGCACUGUAUCAACACAGAUAUUUUGCACUGACUGAGUUUCCAACCGCUAUAUUACACGACAGAUCUUUUAAACUCAAGGUUUCUGAAGUCACGCUUCUAUUUCUUCUUUCCUUUCUCUAAGAUACGUUUGCUGUGAAAAUGCUUUCUUUCCUUUCUUAAUCUCUCACAGAGACCUCAAUUUCUUGCACACCUACUCAGCAAAAGUCAUUAUAAAAAUACCGCAUUUUUUUUCUUUCCAGCCUAAACUGAGAAAUUCUAUUUGCUCGCCAGCAACUCUGUACAUCAGAAAUCUGAUAAAUUCAAUGCAUCCCGUCCUUCUCAGCCUACCUAAACAAGACUGAGUACGGAAAGGAAGACUGAGCAAAAAGAAAACCACCCAACAAAGUAGAAGGACUGUCUCCUGAGGUUUAACACAUGGGCCAGACUGAAGCUGAGUUGUAGGUGGAUACAAUUUCCACGGUGCUUGGAGGGAAGCAUAGGCCAGGGCUGGAGCUGUUAAUUCUUUGGAACGUGCAAAAAGUCUGUUAACACCGGAGAGCUGUGCUGCCUUUCCCUCUUUGGUCCAUGGGAUGAAUUUAAUCACGCUGCUUUAACCAUUUGCUUUUACUGCGCUGGCAGAGGUCAUUUUGCACUACAAACAGAUGCAAAGGUGAAUACGGCAUUCAUCAGAACACUUAACCCUCCCAGCAAAAAAAAGAAACAGCCAACAAGCCCCAAAUGUUCGUUGACGUGAAUUCUCGAAAUGUUUCAUUUAAAAACAAAGACGUUGCACUUGUGAAAAUGGCACCACUGGCCUUUCAGGUGAACAUCAGUUAUUCCAUGGAAACACAUCUUGCCGUGUAAAACAUGAUUACUGCUGUUCCAUGACUACAAUUGCUCUCAAAGGUGCAAUUCUCAACCUUUCCUUCCAAGAAAUGGCUUAUUUUUAAAUCUGUGACAUUACUCUGUUGAGAAGCAUUUUUACAGGUCUUUAGCUAUAGGUCCCCACGUUAAAUUGUGUUAUUUUUCACAGGACACUGUAUGUGACUGGUUACUCUUCUAAGCGCACGGAAGGCACUAUUGCUGUUUAACCAGGAAUGUGUAUUCCUAAGGACCCUUUAGUAGGUAAUGUGUGUUAGAUCAGACUUAAAAAUAAGCAAUAAGGAUAACUCUAAAAAGGCAUUUAAACGCUUGCUUUUCUGGUCUUCUGACAUCUAUUGAAGUGGCACUGUGGAAUACAGGUCACACUCUGGCCAUUAGCACUUACCACUUCAGUAGCAAAUGUUGGAGUCGAGUAAUGUGUCACCUGAUCAGAAUUCUGAUUUGAACACAAAUCAGUUCUGUACCUAUACCUUAUGGCAGCAUUCAUAAGACUGCUUUCGUGCGGUUCCUACCGUUCAAAACCCAUACUUAAUAAAAAAAUUAAAAGGAUCCUUUC
ensembl:lncRNA